CUUCAUAUCGUCUUAUUUUAUAUUUAAUGUGGCACGAGUAUUUGGAUUCAAUGGAUAAAAUGUCCAUUGACCCAUGCACUGAAGUCUAACGUGCCAACAUUUACAAGUAUUGCCGCUCCCUCAUUUCCCAUUAGGGGGUCCGGGUGCACUGCGUCAGUUGUUUUGGAAUCGGCAGUUGUGUACCAAAGUUUGUUCGUCCUUAUACACAAUUCUCUGAAUCCCAUGGCUUCAUUUGUCUGUUGCAGACAGGAGGCGCAUAUAUGUGAUGGAAAUCCUGUCCUGUUAGUAAGCUGAAAUUUAAGUACCUCAUUCCUACCCAGACGCCUGUCAAUUUGAGAAUAUCUUUCAAUAUGUCGUUUCCAUUCUCGUCAAAGAGUUUCCUUGGAUUUACUGCAUGCUCCCCGCAAGUUCGACACGGAAGCGCCAUUUCGGGACUUUCUCUCUAAAUUAAAGAAGUUUAUUAUACAUUAUUUUGUGUUUGUUUGUUCUGUAAAUGUCCGCUAACAAUGUGACUGGCACUUACCGCAAACGCGUUGCAUUGUGAGUGGUUCAGACAAACAAACGACAACAAAUUUAGCAAAAAAGCCAUUUUAUAUCGUAUUUUCUCAAUCCAUUUGACAAUAAAAUAGAUCAUCAAUG